AUUGAACGCUGGCGGCAGGCCUAACACAUGCAAGUCGAACGAGUGGCGGACGGGUGAGUAAUGUCUGGGAAACUGCCUGAUGGAGGGGGAUAACUACUGGAAACGGUAGCUAAUACCGCAUACCAUCAGAUGUGCCCAGGUGGGAUUAGCUAGUUGGUGGGGUAACGGCUAACCAAGGCGACGAUCCCUAGCUGGUCCGAGCGGAUGACCGGUCAAACUGGAACUGAGAAACGGUCAAGACUCCGACGGGAGGAAGCAGUGGGGAAUAUUGCACAAUGGGCGCAAGCCGGAUGCAGACAUGCCGCGGGUAUGAGGCAGGCCUUGGGGUUGUAAAGUACUUUCAGCGGGGAGGCGUUACCCGCAGAGGAAGCACCGGCUAACUCCGUGCCAGCAGCCGCGGUAAUAC
rnacentral:rRNA from 1 species